GACGAACGCUGGCGGCGUGCCUAAUACAUGCAAGUUGAGCGCUGAAGGUUGGUACUUGUACCGACUGGAUGAGCAGCGAACGGGUGAGUAACGCGUGGGGAAUCUGCCUUUGAGCGGGGGACAACAUUUGGAAACGAAUGCUAAUACCGCAUAAAAACUUUAAACACAAGUUUUAAGUUUGAAAGAUGCAACUGCAUCACUCAAAGAUGAUCCCGCGUUGUAUUAGCUAGUUGGUGAGGUAAAGGCUCACCAAGGCGAUGAUACAUAGCCGACCUGAGAGGGUGAUCGGCCACAUUGGGACUGAGACACGGCCCAAACUCCUACGGGAGGCAGCAGUAGGGAAUCUUCGGCAAUGGACGAAAGUCUGACCGAGCAACGCCGCGUGAGUGAAGAAGGUUUUCGGAUCGUAAAACUCUGUUGGCAGAGAAGAACGUUGGUGAGAGUGGAAAGCUCAUCAAGUGACGGUAACUACCCAGAAAGGGACGGCUAACUACGUG
rnacentral:rRNA from 1 species